UUCAACUGGAGUUCCGAAUAUUUACAUUUGGAUGCGCACGCAAGCACGCGCACCUCUUUUUAACAUCCGUUUAGAAAAAUUUGAAAAUCAUCCUCGAGAAAUAAUCGCACCAGACUGAUGAACAAAUAGUGAACAACUGCGUCUAAGGAAUAUUAAGAAGAUAUAAGACUUUUCUGUAUAAACCUCUUGAUAUAAGCAUGCUGUUCUAGUCUGCCACAAAGAGACACCAGAAUCCAAAAUAUCCGAGCAGUGAUCAGGACAUUUGAAGUGUGCCCCACAGAGAGCAGAAAGAGUUUCUAGGCCAGAAGAAUAAAUCAUUAAAACAAAAUAAAUUUUUCAUUUUAAAAACCUCUUUUUUUUUAUUUCUAUAGUUAAUUUAGUGCCAGUAAAAAAAUGGCAGUGAAAUUUAGAAAUACGUUAUUUGGUGCAUCUUUUUUUUCUCCGGUUUACUCAAUUGUAUCGGGUGUAUGGAUAAUGAUUGAAUGAGUAAACAGCUUGGUGAUGGUAUGGUUUGUUCCAAAUGCCUUAAAGAUAAAUAAUUUAAAAAAUCAUACGGUAUACCCUCAAAAAGUCAAAUUUCAGAUCAACAAGUAUCAAUAAAAAUGAAAAAAAGACAAUAAAAAAGAAGUAAAUACAUGAAAUAUCGGAUUACAAAAACUUAAAAUGAGAACAUCUUUUUUUAUGGCAUUUUGUGUCACUGUGUCAAAUUUGCUGCAUUUACUUAAUUUUGUAUAAGUUGGAAAACUUGAUCAACCAGAAUCAAACCAGUGUGCUGUAGUAAGUUUUUCUUUUUUCCUUUGCUUUGAAAAAUUGAUGUGCUAGAAAAGUAAGCUUUGUUAA